rnacentral:rRNA from 1 species
UACGUAGGGACCAAGCGUUGUUCGGAUUUACUGGGCGUAAAGGGCGCGUAGGCGGCAAUUCAAGUCAUCUGUGAAAUCUCCGGGCUUAACUCGGAACGGUCAGAUGAUACUGCUUUGCUCGAGUGCGGAAGGGGCAAUCGGAAUUCUUGGUGUAGCGGUGAAAUGCGUAGAUAUCGAGAGGAACACCUGAGGUGAAGACGGGUUGCUGGGCCGACACUGACGCUGAGUGCGCGAAAGCCAGGGGAGCAAACGGG